GGGCCCGCACAAGCGGUGGAGCAUGUGGUUUAAUUCGAUGAUACGCGAGGAACCUUACCAGGGCUUAAAUGUAGGUUGCAUGAUCUAGAGAUAGAUCUUUCUUCGGACUACCUACAAGGUGCUGCAUGGUUGUCGUCAGCUCGUGCCGUGAGGUGUCAGGUUAAGUCCUAUAACGAGCGCAACCCCUGCCGUUAGUUGCCAGCAUGUAAUGAUGGGAACUCUAACAAGACUGCCGGUGCAAACCGUGAGGAAGGUGGGGAUGACGUCAAAUCAUCACGGCCCUUACGUCCUGGCUACACACGUGCUACAAUGGCCGGUACAGAGAGCAGCCACUACGCGAGUAGGAG
rnacentral:rRNA from 1 species